CCUGCGUGGAGGCCCGCAGAUGCCAGGAUGGCUUUGGUGGAGUGCCGCAGCCCCCGCGACUCCUCACUCAACCCCUUCCCGUCGCAAACGGCCUUCGGGUUCCCUCCUUUUGUCGCCGGUCCUUCCCGGGACUCUCAGCGACCGCCCCACAGCGGGCCGCUGAGUUACGGCAAGCGCCGAGGGCCAAUCUCCGCGGCCGCUAGCGUUGCGCGUCCCUCCAUCCGCUCCAGCGCAGCCCGGCGCCGCGGAGGACUAAAUGCUGCAGUGUGGCUGAUCUAACCUAGGAGGGCUCCUAUGGGGCCGGAAGGACCUCGGCCAAGCAGGGACAGCCUUCUCCACUUCUCCGUGGAGCCGUCGUGAUGCACCAACUCUCUCCCACGCCUGAGACACGCACGCGCGUGCAUCUCCCGGGGCCGUUCGCCCGCCCUCCCUGAGCUUACCGGGACCAGCCGACUAGCUCCCAGCAUCCGGGCCUGAGUCCCCGAGAACUCUGGCCGCCGACGCCGCUGCUGCUCCGCGCUCAGUCCCGCCCCGGCUUAAAGCCGUGGCGUCCGCCCACCGAGAAGACACCAAGUCUUACUCAACUGAUGUGUCACUCACUAAUUGCAGUGGUCCUUGGAGCACGAGCAUGGAGAAAGCCCUGGACUUCAUCCCCAAUUUGGGCUUGCCUGCAAUCUCUGUAGCUUCGAAUCACUAAUGAACACCCAAGAUAACCAACAGUGUGGACGGCCCAGUGCUUGACCAUUUGCUGCUCCAGCCGAGGUUCUGAAUUCAGCACCCAGUAUUCAUACUGAAUUGGGUGGCUUACAAACAACUAUAACUCCGGCUCCAGAGGAUAUGACACUCUCUUCUGGCCUUUUUAGGCACCUGCACUGAUGUAUACACACACACACACACACACACACACACACACACACUCUCGCACGCAUGCACGUACAUACACACACAGAUGCCACCUAAGUACAGAUGCCCAUGGAAGUCAGAAAAUAUGUUGGAUCUCUUGGGGCUGGAGCUGCUCCUGAUUGUGAGCCACUCAACAUGGGUGCUGGUGACCAAACUCAGGUCCUUCCUCUAAAAAAGAUUAGUAAACACUCUUAACUGCUGAACCAUCUCUCCAGCACUGUAGUCCCCACUUUCUGAUUCAGAGGGUAUCUAGUAUAUGGCCCAGUCUGGCCUUCAGUUCUCAAUCCUCCUGCCUCAACUUUGUCCAUGCUAGAGUAACAGACAUGCCACCAUGCCUAGUCUGAGCUUGACAUUUUGAAAACCACCAAGAUACAAUCUGCCCUUCUCUGCUUGGAUCCCUGAUGUACAAGCUUGCCUACAGGUUGAAGCUGAACCAUGAGUUUGGUUUUUUUUUCCCUCUGUGUGAUGAAUUUUCCACUAUAAUAAAUCAAUAUU